rnacentral:ncRNA from 1 species
CUAAAUGCAUUGACGGAGACGAGUAAGCGUCACACCGGGUUACAGAGAGACCGUGCCAUGGCUGAAAGCGCGGUUAUCCAGGAAACGCCGAAAACCCCUCCCGAGCAGCUUGAGGAAAGGGCCGCCCCAACACGGCAGUCUGAAUAAUCAAAGCCGUAAAUCCACGUUAAGGAUGAUGAGCGCGCCUCCUGCCAUGGGAGAGCGAAGCGGGGUGGUACCGCGGGUUUCUUCUAUAAAUAAGAACCCGUCCCCGGC